rnacentral:rRNA from 1 species
CUGGAUACUGGGUCUAAUACCGGAUAUGACUGUCCAUCGCAUGGUGGAUGGUGUAAAGCUCCGGCGGUGCAGGAUGAGCCCGCGGCCUAUCAGCUUGUUGGUGAGGUAGUGGCUCACCAAGGCGACGACGGGUAGCCGGCCUGAGAGGGCGACCGGCCACACUGGGACUGAGACACGGCCCAGACUCCUACGGGAGGCAGCAGUGGGGAAUAUUGCACAAUGGGCGAAAGCCUGAUGCAGCGACGCCGCGUGAGGGAUGACGGCCUUCGGGUUGUAAACCUCUUUCAGCAGGGAAGAAGCGAAAGUGACGGUACCUGCAGAAGAAGCGCCGGCUAACUACGUGCCAGCAGCCGCGGUAAUACGUAGGGCGCAAGCGUUGUCCGGAAUUAUUGGGCGUAAAGAGCUCGUAGGCGGCUUGUCACGUCGGUUGUGAAAGCCCGGGGCUUAACCCCGGGUCUGCAGUCGAUACGGGCAGGCUAGAGUUCGGUAGGGGAGAUCGGAAUUCCUGGUGUAGCGGUGAAAUGCGCAGAUAUCAGGAGGAACACCGGUGGCGAAGGCGGAUCUCUGGGCCGAUACUGACGCUGAGGAGCGAAAGCGUGGGGAGCGAACAGGAUUAGAUACCCUGGUAGUCCACGCCGUAAACGGUGGGGCACUAGGGUGUGGGCAACAUUCCACGUUGUCCGUGCCGCAGCUAACGCAUUAAGUGCCCCGCCUGGGGAGUACGGCCGCAAGGCUAAAACUCAAAGGAAUUGACGGGGGCCCGC